UUUCAUAACGACGAUUUCACUUCCCUUAUUAAAAAAUUGAGGUAUAAUAUUAUUAUUCAAUAAGCCUCUUCUUCUUCAAUAAGCCUCUUCUUAAUGUCUUUUGGUAACAUCUAAGAGUUUAUAUCACUAUAUUAACUGGUGUAGCUCUAGUAAACUAAAAGUUAAUUGCAAUUCUGUCUGAGUUUACAAGAAUAUAUAAAUUCAUAAAUGUUUUGGGUCUUGUUCAAAGCUAGUGGUUGAAAAUGAAACAUGGAGGGAAAAUCUUGAUAGGAACCUCAUUUGGAUUACUAUAUCAAAAUUUAGGUUCCAUUUAAAUGAUUGGAAAGUCUUUAGGUUUGGGGAGGUAAUGAAGAUGAUGGGCUUGGAUGGUUGAUAUUGUGUAUGGAAGUUCCCUUCUUGAGUUUUGCUAACAUGGUUUAUUAGUUUUGGACUAAUCUUUAAAGUUCUAUUUUAUAGAUUUUGACUAUGAUUUCUAACCAUUCAUGAUUAUUUGCUGGAUUCGUGUAUAACUAAUAGUGUGAUUAUCAUUACUUGGGUUAUCUUUUGAAUUCUCAUAAUUUUGUAAUUGUCCAAGGAUCAAAUGGUGUUUUAAUUGUGUUUUCUAUAUCUCCUUUAUUUCAAUUUUAAGAUCAUUACAAUUGGAGACCUUAGAAUUUUUAUUGGUUUUGUGGUAGUCCUUUCGAAUCUUUUAAAUAAUAUAUCUUUUAAAUAUGUCUUUUAUUGGCCACAAAAGGAUUUUUUUGUUGGUUUAGCUUCAAGAGUUGAUUUUAAUUUUUCAAAAUAAACCUUCUUAUCCCAAGGUCACUCGCGUUUAUGGCCUAAAAACGAGAUUUUAUUCCUUUUUUAGAAUAUUAAUUUUGCUCGAGGAUUCAUAAUUUUCUUCUGAAAAAUCAUCAUUCUAAAUU
rnacentral:lncRNA from 1 species